rnacentral:sRNA from 1 species
AUUAGGAAGGCCCCCAGCUGUGGCCAGCCCAGGGCCGGGCUGCCCACCGUGCCAGCCCAGUUUCAAUGACCCACCUGAGGGUUUCCAUCGUGGGCCAGGGGACCGGCGCAGGUGGGCAUCCGGAGCCAGGCAGUGGCCAGCCCAUCCCGGGCAGGGUCAUAGGUGGGGCUGCAGGCCUUGAAGCCGCCAUGUGAAGGCAGCAGCGACCCCAGGCAGGGCGGGCCAGGUUGACCUUGCACCUGCUCUCCCCUCGGCCCUGCGGCCAUGCCGACCCUGGUCGUGGGCACGCCGCCCACCUGCCUGGGGGACACACCUCAGCCCCGCCACAAGAACAGCCAGAGGCAGGGCCCCUUCUCCCAUGGGGCCCCAGGGAGAGCAGCCGACUGGGAGGCUGUUGCCAAGCCCAGGCUCUGCGCACCUGCAGCUGAGGAUGACGUGGCAGCCCUGAGGUGGCCCGGGCCCUCCCAGCAGCCAGACCCACCCUGGGCGGCUCCCCACGUGGUCGGGUCUGACGACCUCGAGGAAUCAGGCCCCUGGGGGAAGGCGUGCAGCCUGCCCAUGUGGUCCACAGGCCCGGAGGCUAGGGAUGGGGACAGCUCGGUGUCGUCGGGCCGCCUCUCGUGCUCUUCGGGGGGCCACGACGUGUGUGUGUCCUGGAAGGAGAGGCCACCCCAGGUGUUGGGGCCCCAGCGGAGGCCCAGAAAGAGUGACCCGCGGCUGGAGCAGCUGAGAGACAAGAUCCGGGCCCAGGCGUGGCAGCAGGGGAGCUGUGCGUCCCUGGGCACCUCAGCCCCCUCCAGCGCCUCCAGACUCCACAAAGCCUCCACGCUGGCGCUUAGGAGGAAAACCCAAGAGGCAAAAAAUCCCCCUCCAGCCCCUGAAUGCUCAGGUUUCAGCAUCUUGAGUGCAGCUGAGCGCAGAGUUGAAGCCAAGGCAUCCCAUGGCCAGGGGCGCGAGCUCUCCAGGGUCUCCCAGCACCAGGUUCCUGUUCUAAGGGAAAAACCCAAAAGGGUCAAAAGCAGUUCUUGCAAAAGAGAGAAGACCCCCAAGUCGCCCUCCCCUAGAAGAGCGGCCAAAGACAAACACAAAGACGAAGGUUGGCAGUCUUGCUCCCAUUUUGUAGAUGAGGCAACCGAGGUUCACAGAGUUUCCACAGCCUGCCCGGGGCCGCACAGAGGCAGAGCCUCCCACCCGUCCAGCUCAAGGCCAGUGCUCCUAACCUGGAAGCCCAGCCAUGUGCACCUGGGGCCACGCCUGGGCAGCUUGUCAAGGCCACCCUCCAGGCGUGGAUUCUGGGGCCACCGAACCACAGGGUUUUGGAGACACCAGCAAGAGCCCCCAGGUGGAGUGAACGCCACCCACUAGGCUGAGAUUGGCUUUGUGGGACCCUCACUCCAAGUGUGAGCAGUGCCAGCUCGCCGGCCACUCCUGUAAUGCUCCAUGCCUCAGUUUCUCCACGCUGCGUGCAAUCACAGCCCUGGGGCCACGGGGAGGGGCACUGCGUGGCGUGCGUUCUGUCCGUGCCCAGGUGGCUGAGCAUCUGUCCCGUGUCGUCAGUUGCCGGCCCCUCUGCUCCUAGGCAGAGCAGCAGCUUCCAGCCGAGAGUAAACGCCUCUGUGCCCAUACCCAGGGAGGACACGCGGGUGAGGUGGGAGCUCAGCGGGGCCGCAGGGCCACCGUGUGCAUUCAGCGGGGCCAGAGGCCGAGCAGAAGGGGACUGCGAUGUAGGGACCCAGGCACCCAGAAGGUUCCAGAAGGCCGUGGAAACAUGCGUACAAUAUAACAAUUUUCUGCAUGGUCACCCCCUCCCUCC